AACGAACGCUGGCGGCAUGCCUAACACAUGCAAGUCGAACGAGACCUUCGGGUCCAGUGGCGCACGGGUGCGUAACGCGUGGGAAUCUGCCCUUGGGUUCGGAAUAACUCAGAGAAAUUUGAGCUAAUACCGGAUGAUGACGUAAGUCCUAAGAUUUAUCGCCCAAGGAUGGGCCCGCGUAAGAUUAGCUAGAUGGUGGGGUAAAGGCCUACCAAGGCGACGAUCUUAAUCUGGUCUGAGAGGAUGAUCAGCCACACGGGGACUGAGACACGGCUCAGAGUCCUCCGGAAGGCAGAAGUGGUGAAUAUUGGACAAUGUGCGAAGGCCUGAUCCAGAAAUGCCGCGUGAGUGAUGAAGGCCUUAGGGUUGUAAAGCUCUUUUACCAGGGAUGAUAAUGACAGUACCUGAAGAAUAAGCAACGGCUAACUACGUGCCAGCAGCCGCGGUAA
rnacentral:rRNA from 1 species